UACGUAGGGGGCUAGCGUUGUCCGGAAUCAUUGGGCGUAAAGAGCGCGUAGGCGGCCAGAUAAGUCCGGUGUGAAAGUCACAGGCUCAACCUGUGAAUGCCGCUGGAAACUGUCUGGCUAGAGUCCGGAAGGGGCGAGUGGAAUUCCUGGUGUAGCGGUGAAAUGCGCAGAUAUCAGGAGGAACACCGGUGGCGAAGGCGGGUCUCUGGGCCGUAACUGACGCUGAGGAGCGAAAGCAUGGGGAGCGAACAGG
rnacentral:rRNA from 1 species